UACGUAGGGGGCAAGCGUUAUCCGGAUUUACUGGGUGUAAAGGGAGCGUAGACGGUAAUGUAAGUCAGAUGUGAAAGCCCAGGGCUCAACCCUGGGACUGCAUUUGAAACUAUGUUACUAGAGUGCAGGAGAGGUAAGUGGAAUUCCUAGUGUAGCGGUGAAAUGCGUAGAUAUUAGGAGGAACACCAGUGGCGAAGGCGGCUUACUGGACUGUAACUGACGUUGAGGCUCGAAAGCGUGGGGAGCAAACAGG
rnacentral:rRNA from 1 species